CCAAUAGCGUAUAUUAAAGUUGUUGCAGUUAAAAAGCUCGUAGUUGAAUUUCGGAAUCAAUAUGUUGGUCGUGCCAUUGGUACGUACUGGCAUUAUUGGUUUCUACCUUCUGAAGAACCUCGAUGUCAUUAAUUUGGUGUCUUGGGGAACCAGGACUGUUACUUUGAAAAAAUUAGAGUGUUUAAAGCAGGCUCGCGCUUGAAUACAUUAGCAUGGAAUAAUGAAAUAGGACGUUUGAUUCUAUUUUGUUGGUUUCUAGGAUCGACGUAAUGAUUAAUAGGGAUAGUUGGGGGCAUUAGUAUUCAAUUGUCAGGGGUGAAAUUCUUGGAUUUAUUGAAGACUAACUACUGCGAAAGCAUUUGCCAAGGAUGUUUUCAUUAAUCAAGAACGAAAGUUAGGGGAUCGAAGACGAUCAGAUACCGUCGUAGUCUUAACCAUAAACUAUGCCGACUAGGGAUCGGAUGAUGUUAAUUUUUUAAUGACUCAUUCGGCGCCUUACG
rnacentral:rRNA from 1 species